rnacentral:rRNA from 1 species
AGAGUUUGAUCCUGGCUCAGGACGAACGCUGGCGGCGUGCCUAACACAUGCAAGUCGAACGGAGCUAUUUUUGACGAUUUCUUCGGAAUGAAUUAGUUGUAGCUUAGUGGCGGACGGGUGAGUAACGCGUGAGUAACCUGCCUUUAAGAGGGGGAUAACGUUCUGAAAAGAACGCUAAUACCGCAUAACGUGCAGAAGUCGCAUGGCUUUUGUAUCAAAGAUUUAUCGCUUAAAGAUGGACUCGCGUCCGAUUAGUUAGUUGGUGAGGUAACGGCUCACCAAGACCGCGAUCGGUAGCCGGACUGAGAGGUUGAACGGCCACAUUGGGACUGAGACACGGCCCAGACUCCUACGGGAGGCAGCAGUGGGGGAUAUUGCGCAAUGGGGGAAACCCUGACGCAGCAACGCCGCGUGAAGGAAGAAGGUUUUCGGAUUGUAAACUUCUUUUAUUAAGGACGAACAAUGACGGUACUUAAUGAAUAAGCUCCGGCUAACUACGUGCCAGCAGCCGCGGUAAUACGUAGGGAGCGAGCGUUGUCCGGAUUUACUGGGUGUAAAGGGUGCGUAGGCGGCAUAGCAAGUCAGAUGUGAAAUGUAUGGGCUUAACCCAUGAACUGCAUUUGAAACUGCUAAGCUUGAGUGAAGUAGAGGUAGGCGGAAUUCCCUGUGUAGCGGUGAAAUGCGUAGAGAUAGGGAGGAACACCAGUGGCGAAGGCGGCCUACUGGGCUUUAACUGACGCUGAGGCACGAAAGCGUGGGUAGCAAACAGGAUUAGAUACCCUGGUAGUCCACGCUGUAAACGAUGAUUACUAGGUGUGGGGGGUCUGACCCCCUCCGUGCCGCAGUUAACACAAUAAGUAAUCCACCUGGGGAGUACGGCCGCAAGGUUGAAACUCAAGGGAAUUGACGGGGGCCCGCACAAGCAGCGGAGCAUGUGGUUUAAUUCGAAGCAACGCGAAGAACCUUACCAGGUCUUGACAUCCAGGUAAAGCUGCAGAGAUGCAGUGUGUGCUUGCACAAUCUGAGACAGGUGGUGCAUGGUUGUCGUCAGCUCGUGUCGUGAGAUGUUGGGUUAAGUCCCGCAACGAGCGCAACCCCUGCGAAUAGUUACUAACAGGUGAUGCUGAGGACUCUAUUGGGACUGCCGUGGACAACACGGAGGAAGGUGGGGACGACGUCAAAUCAUCAUGCCCCUUAUGACCUGGGCUACACACGUGCUACAAUGGUCGCAACAAAGAGGAGCGAAACCGUAAGGUAGAGCAGAUCUCAAAAACGCGAUCCCAGUUCGGAUUGUGGGCUGCAACCCGCCCACAUGAAGUAGGAGUUGCUAGUAAUCGCGAAUCAGCAUGUCGCGGUGAAUACGUUCCCGGGCCUUGUACACACCGCCCGUCACACCAUGGGAGUUGGUAGCACCCGAAGGCAGAGAGGUAACCGCAAGGAGCCAUCUGACGAAGGUAGGAUUGGCGACUGGGGUGAAGUCGUAACAAGGUAACC